GCGGUGAAGGCAGGUCAUGCGCUCCUCACGCUCCACGAACGGAACCUGCGCACGGAGGCGGUAGCGCGGGGUGGCAGCCGGCAAUGAGGCGGCCGCGCUACGUGACGAGCUACGGGUCCCCCUUUGUGAUGUUUUGGCAUCGCUCCUUCAUCGCACAUCCUCAGGCGAUGGCGGUGGUGUCGCUGAUGGCGGCGAGGACAGCAUGUGGCAGCUCCCGAAGCAUGAACACGACCGCACCUCGGGCCUGCCGUCUGCCAAGAUAUGGCUCUGGCCGAUUGACAAUGGAGGUUUGGGAUCCUUCCUCUCAGCACCCACUCCUGGAAGAAUCAGCGGUGCGCCACGCCGAUUGAACCCCGUCGAGAUCACUCGCCAAGAUUGCUAUUCUGAAGUUUAUUGUAAAGAAAGUGAAGAGUGAGACAGGAUCCGUUUAUUUUCAACCGGUUUAUUUUCAACCGGUUUAUUUCCAUCAAAUUACCCCCACCCCCACGCCCACCCACCGAAACGCGCCCAGCGAACCGGGGAGAGAUCCAUUGAUUUGGCUAAGGUAGGAAAGAAUCUAUUAUUUGUUUGCUAAAGCAAAUUGCAUUAAUGGGAGAGAUCCGUUGAUUUGGCUAAGGUAGGAAAGAAUCUAUUAUUUGUUUGCUAAAGCAAA